rnacentral:rRNA from 1 species
AUGGCAUCGGUAGAUUUUGAUCUCUGCUUCACGUAUGUGUUGGCUGGAUGGGAAGGGUCAGUACACGAUGCAACCGUUUUAGCUGAUGUGUUAAUGCGUGAGAGAGGCUUACAAGUACCACCAGGAAAGUUCUACCUAGUUGAUGACAGUUAUGGAGCCAAGCCCGGGUUCUUAACACCUUUUCGUGGUGUGAGGUUUCACAUGAAGAGGGAGUGGGGCAACAAUCCAGUCCAAAAUGACAAGGAGUUAUUCAAGCUUAGGCACUCUUGGCUACAGGUGACGACAGAGAGGGCAUUUGGAUCUCUCAAUAGCCGUUUCAAAAUUUUACAUGAUGCCGAACCAUUCUUUACUUUCCCGGCACAAGUUGACAGUCUUAUAACUUGUUGUGUUCUUUACAAUUAUGCAUUAUCACACAGGAUUGAUGAAUUUAUUAUAUUGGAAGUGACAUGGACCACCCAACCAAUUCGAACAUCAAGGCAACAAGCAAGUGACACUAGGGUCGUGGUAGACCGUAAGCUACAAAUAGCAGCCCAAAUGUGGGAAGAUAGAUCUCCUGAGUUUGCUAGAUGA